GAUGAACGCUAGCGGCAGGCCUAAUACAUGCAAGUCAAGGGGUAGCAAUACAACCGGCGCACGGGUGAGUAACGCGUACACAACAUACCAUAUACUGGAGUAUAGCUUUGGGAAACUGAAGGUAAUCCUCCAUAACAUUGCGAGAGGGCAUCUGAUUGCAAUUAAAGUUUCGGCGGUAUAUGAUUGGUGUGCGUUUUGAUUAGCUAGUUGGUAGGGUAACGGCCUACCAAGGCGACGAUCAAUAGCUGGCGUGAGAGCGCGACCAGCCACACUGGAACUGAGACACGGUCCAGACUCCUACGGGAGGCAGCAGUAGGGAAUAUUGGACAAUGGAGGAAACUCUGAUCCAGCCAUGCCGCGUGAUAGAUGAAGGCCCUCUGGGUUGUAAAUAUCUUUUAUCUGGGAAGAAACACUCCUAUUCUUAGGAACUUGACGGUACCAGAGGAAUAAGCACCGGCUAACUCCGUGCCAGCAGCCGCGGUAAAGU
rnacentral:rRNA from 1 species